GGGGUGCUUGGAAAGUUGGCUGUUAGGGGCUGUUAAACCCUCACUACCUUUAAGGGUUUCUCUGUGCCCUGCCUGCCCUUCUGGACAUGAGUCGGCUACCAGGAGCAAAUAGCAGCAACACAUGUAUGCACAGGGGUUUAGAAAUAUGAGUUGGCUGAUCAACUUGAGCAUGUAUGUUACUGACAAGGGGAUAUUGGGUUAUUUUCUGGGGGACUAGCAUGUCACUAAAGCAGGCCUUUUCAUAUAUUAAAAAA